GGGCAGACGGCAGCGGCGCGGCGGGGCGCGAUGGCGGCCGGGCUGGGGCCGUGGCUGCUGGCCUUGGCCUUGGGGCCGGCAGGUGUGUGUGCACAGAUGAGACUGGAAACAUCUGGUGGAGGUGUGCGAGCGCCUGGGGAUUCUGUGCAGCUCACCUGCCAGGGAUCUGGCUUCAACUUUGGAAGUUAUGGUGUGCGGUGGUACCGUCAGGCACUCGGUGGCCGUCUCGAGUGGCUGUCCUACAUCGACACAUGGUCAUAUACUAGAUACAGCCCAGGUGUGGAGGGUAGAGCCACGAUUUCUCGAGACAAUUCCCGAUCUGUGUCCCAUUUGACCCUAAGCUCCCUGCGCCCGCAAGACUCAGCACACUACUUGUGUGCUGUUCACACAGGAACAGGAAAUCCUACAGAGCUGUAACAAAAAAUCCCCUUCCUGUGCACAGCCACAG